GCUGGGCAUGGUGGCGCAUGCCUGUAAUCCCAGCUACAUGGGAGGCUGAGGCAGGAGAAUUGCUUGAACCUGGGAGGCGGGGGUUACAGUGAGCCGAGAUCGUGCCACUGCACUCCAGCCUGGGAGACAGAGUGAGACUCUGUCUCAA
ensembl:misc_RNA Metazoa_SRP Metazoan signal recognition particle RNA